rnacentral:rRNA from 1 species
UACGUAGGGGACUAGCGUUGUUCGGAAUCACUGGGCGUAAAGCGCACGUAGGCGGAUUGUUAAGUCAGGGGUGAAAUCCUGGAGCUCAACUCCAGAACUGCCUUUGAUACUGGCGAUCUCGAGUCCGGGAGAGGUGAGUGGAACUGCGAGUGUAGAGGUGAAAUGCGUAGAUAUUCGCAAGAACACCAGUGGCGAAGGCGGCUCACUGGCCCGGUACUGACGCUGAGGUGCGAAAGCGUGGGGAGCAAACAGG